GUUCUUUACGAGCCCAAGAAUUCAACCAUACCAUUUUUAGGACGUGAAACCUUCAAAAACCCGAGAACCAGAAUUCCCGAGUUAAGGUAUUGUUCAUGCAAACGUAAUCGUGAAGUUUUCAAGGAGUUUUAAGGUUAGAGGGAGCCUUAACACACCCUCACGAAGCUCGAGGAAGAAAGUUGGAGUGAUUUCGGGAAGCGUAGUUUGACAAGUUUGAAAUUUUGGCCGGAUUGUCGAGGUCUCUCAGGCAAGAUCCCGUGAAUUUCAAGGCCUAAAAGUGAAACCGGCGAUCGCAGCGGCACCGGCACCGGACUCUAGCGAACCAAGGAAGAAGGAGGAGAAUAUUCCGUCAAAGUUGACAAAAUAUUCUGACGCCAUUAGGUGUGCCAAGCACGUGCCUGCGCAUGGGGGUGUAUAUGGUCGUGCUUUGGCCCGCGCGUGAGGGCAUGUGGAGUCAUGAAAUUUUUUUCUAAAAUUAUGGGGAUGCUCCUGACGUUGAGUAGG